GCCUGCUUACACAUUGUCUGUACUGUUUUAGCAGUGAAAAAGAAUACCCAGAGACAAGGCACGGGUGGUGGGUCACCAAAAGCUGACCUCAUCCCAGCAGAGGCCAGCUUUGGAGCUAAAUAAAGGCAGGCCUGUUGGAGGGAAUCCCUGGGGGAAAAAAGACAAGCAUAGGUCCCUCACAAGAUGCCACCCGCUUCAUACAAGUGUCUGGCAGCACUGUGUUACUGUUAAAGCCACCAGCACGAGCACCUGACGAUGCUGAUCCAGUGAGUACUCCAUCAAAGGCACACUGUAGGCCUGGCAUGUCUUGUCUACUAGCUUCAAUAUGAAUCCGAUUAAAUGUGAUGGGGUCAAGGCCCCAUUUCAUCAGCACAUAACGGCGAUGAUGAUGAGGAGACCAUCUCUCUGGAUUCCAAAAGGCAUAAGGACCCAGAGUCAUUGGUGCACUGGACUGCACAAACAUAAGGAUAAAAGCCCCCUCAUGUGCCCAUGAGGCAGAUUUUGUAAAUAUGAAAUCUUUUUGAUCUUUUCCAUUGAACACUGGCAAAAUGGCCUGGCUCAGUCCAUGACUCCAGAAUCUUUUGGACCUCUGAAAUCUAUCAGCGCCUAUCACAAGGUGAAUUCUCUGGUGUGUUGCUGGUAGACAGGGGGUAAGGCUGCCAGCCGUUUUUCCUGACACCUUUCACAGACCCCCAGGAAGCAGAGCAGGCCUACAACUAUGCCCAUGCUUAUAAUGUUAUAAGCAGAGUUGAAAUAACCUUUGGCCUCCUGAAGGCACGCUCUCACUGCCUUCACAAAUUAAGGGUCAGCCCUGUGAGGGCAUGUGACAUUACUGUGGCUGGUGGUGUCCUCCACAAUGUGGCCUGCCUGAGGAAGGAGAGGGCACCCAGAGGGCACCCAGAGUGCCACCAGCCAUGGAAUGGGACAAUCCGGAAAUCUUCCCUGAUGACAACAGUGGUUGGCUGCUGAGGGACCAAUAUGUGUUGAAUUAUUUUAGUCAGUAUGUGUGCUUUUCACAUUUUUUUGAUGUUUGUGCUGUAUACUGUGUGUAUACUGUUUGUAAUAAGCUUGCAGGGAGGCUACUGCAUCCAUUAAUUGUCUUGUUUUCAGUUGUCUGAAAUUGUCUGUUCAGUUAAUGUGUAUGAAUUUGUCCUGCAUUUAUUUCAGUGUGCAGACAUGCAGGGUGUGUUAUAUACAGACCUUUGAAUGUGUAUUUAUCCUUUGGUUGUAUAAUAUGCUUUGAUUCUGUGCUUUCCAUCUUGUAGAGUCACUGUGUGACUUCAGUUUCGAAAGGAGCUGAUGGUUUACCUGCUUUGGUUUGUCCUUAUUCAAUAAAGAAACAUAAUGUUACACUUUGUGCUUUUAUAUUUAUAUGAAAUGUGUAUGGUAUAAGGGCCACACCGAGGAAAGGAGAAAGUCAUACAUUUGAGGCUGGUUCUUUCUGUGGAAAGAUGCAUAUUGUUUUUACAGUCCUGAUACUUAUAACAAUUUGAUUAAGUAUUUCCUUGUUUCUGAAACCAUACUGAAGUACAAUUCCACGAAAUGCCCCACAACUGUUAUUGUAACAACUGUCCUCCUCUAAAACAAGAAGUUACAAUAUUACGACUUCAUUCUCUGUCUGUUUUUUUUUUUCUGUGGCCCUAAUGUUCUAUCAUUUUAUAUAUAGCCUUAUAGUCUUUAGGAAACUGUAAAUUAUCUAAUGAUAGCAACAUCAUCUAAAAAUCAUGAUUUAUCCAAAAUUAUUAAAAUUAAUGAUCACAAACAUUUAAUAAAAUUACAGUGGGUCUACAAUGUAUAUUGGGAAGUGAAAUAACUAUUGGUUUCCAUUUGUGGUGAUUGCUGACUGACAUAAGGCAUGAGAUUAAAUAGAUCCUGGAAUUUAGCCUGGUCUGGAGCAGGCUAGCUCCACAGAAUAGAUCUCCAUGGAAAUUUAUACCAUAACAUAUCCUCCUGCCCCCUAUCCAACUUUAGUGCAACCGGAUCACGGAUCAAUUGAGCCAGGAUCACCAAGAUAUCCCGGCUUAAUCCCUUAUCCUAGUUUUGUGCAAUAGGCCC